CCUACGGGAGGCUGCAGUGAGGAAUAUUGGUCAAUGGGCGCGAGCCUGAACCAGCCAAGUAGCGUGAAGGAUGACUGCCCUACGGGUUGUAAAAUUCUUUUAUAAAGGAAUAAAGUGAGGCACGUGUGCCUUUCUGUAUGUACUUUAUGAAUAAGGAUCGGCUAACUCCGUGCCAGCAGCCGCGGUAAUACGGAGGAUCCGAGCGUGAUCCGGAUUUAUUGGGUUUAAAGGGAGCGUAGAUGGUUUGUUAAGUCAGUUGUGAAAGUUUGCGGCUCAACCGUAAAAUUGCAAUUUAUACUGGCAGUCUUGAGUACAGUUGAGGUAGGCGGAAUUCGUGGUGUAGCGGUGAAAUGCUUAGAUAUAACGAAGAACUCCGAUUGCGAAGGCAGCUUACUAAACUGCCACUGACAUUGAUGCUCGAAAGUGUGGGUAUCAAACAGGAUUAGAUACCCUUGUAGUC
rnacentral:rRNA from 1 species